rnacentral:sRNA from 1 species
CCGGCUUGGGAUCGCCCUCAGGCAGCGCGUGGCGCCCCCUGGGGCGGUAGUG